rnacentral:rRNA from 1 species
UACGAAGGGGGCUAGCGUUGCUCGGAAUCACUGGGCGUAAAGGGCGCGUAGGCGGCGUUUUAAGUCGGGGGUGAAAGCCUGUGGCUCAACCACAGAAUGGCCUUCGAUACUGGGACGCUUGAGUAUGGUAGAGGUUGGUGGAACUGCGAGUGUAGAGGUGAAAUUCGUAGAUAUUCGCAAGAACACCGGUGGCGAAGGCGGCAAUCUGGCUCAUUACUGACACUCAGGCACGAAAGCGUGGGUAGCAAACGGG